rnacentral:sRNA from 1 species
UUCAUAAUUCCGGCAAAUGUGCGCCACAUCACUUCACACCAGGCCGCGCUCUCAGUAUCAUCCGUUGUAGACAAACCCUCGCUGCCCGUCGGCGAGGGUUUUUCUUUGGA